rnacentral:rRNA from 1 species
CCUACGGGAGGCAGCAGUGGGGAAUCUUAGACAAUGGGGGAAACCCUGAUCUAGCCAUGCCGCGUGAUCGAUGAAGGCCUUAGGGUUGUAAAGAUCUUUCAGAUGGGAAGAUAAUGACGGUACCAUCAGAAGAAGCCCCGGCUAACUCCGUGCCAGCAGCCGCGGUAAUACGGAGGGGGCUAGCGUUAUUCGGAAUUACUGGGCGUAAAGCGCACGUAGGCGGAUCAGAAAGUCAGAGGUGAAAUCCCAGGGCUCAACCUUGGAACUGCCUUUGAAACUCCUGGUCUUGAGGUCGAGAGAGGUGAGUGGAAUUCCGAGUGUAGAGGUGAAAUUCGUAGAUAUUCGGAGGAACACCAGUGGCGAAGGCGGCUCACUGGCUCGAUACUGACGCUGAGGUGCGAAAGCGUGGGGAGCAAACAGGAUUAGAUACCCGUGGUAGUCCACGCCGUAAACGAUGAAUGCCAGUCGUCGGGUAGCAUGCUAUUCGGUGACACACCUAACGGAUUAAGCAUUCCGCCUGGGGAGACGGUCGCAAGAUUAAAACCUUAAUGAAUUGACGG